GCCAUAAAAAGGAUAAAAUAGUGCCAUUUGCAACAACAUGGAUGGAUCUUGAGAACAUGAUGGAUUUGGUGCGGUGUACCCACGAAGCAUGCCCUGCAGGUCGGGGCAUAAAUGGCGCCCAACGCUGUCUCUGCUCUCCAAUCCUCCUCAGGAACGUUCACUUUUUGUCCGGCCGGACCUCCCCUUGGCGCCACUGGGAUCGCCCUGUGAGUCAGCCUGCUUUUUUCCUGGUCGCCACUUUGCUUACCCGCUCUGCGAGUCAGACCUGUUGCUUUGGAUCGUCCGAGACAAGAUAAGAAAACUCCAGGAAGAUCUGGUGAAAAGGCGA